rnacentral:lncRNA from 1 species
UAUUGUGAGAGAAAAUGUGGUUUGGUAGUUGAUGGCAUAUACAUUAGGCCUGAUUUACUGAACAGCAGCCUGAGGUUUGAGAGUUAAAUGUCCCAGGGAGAGAUGUUAUGUUUGCAAGAUGCAUUACUGGUACUCUGCAAACCACGGUAUGGGUCCCUGGGGCGGAGCAGGGUGGGCCAGUGCUCCAAUAGCACCAGCUGCUAAGUAACAGUCGGACCAGAACUUUUAUUUUGCUUAGUAGUUUCACUUAUGUCUAAUUGCAGCUCACCUGUAUCUGAUCAAUUAGCUAGCAGGCUUUUAAAAAGAAGGGAUCAGCAUGCUGCAGAGUGAGGAGGAAAUGCCAGUGGAAUGGUGUCUUGCAGUUAUACAUUUUGUA